GAGCACGUCAAGUUGUGCUGAGGGGUCUCCCUCUUCUCCCUGCCAGGCCCUGCACAGCAACGCCGGGCCCACCCCACCUCCCUCCGCCUAAGGCUGAGACCCACUUUCUCCUCAGUGCCAGCCUACUGCUUGAGGGGAGCAGCCAUUCAGUGGCAGGCAGGCAUCGCGGUGCUGCCCCCCACACCCAGUGUUGAGGACCCGCCUUCCCAGGCCAGCCCACCACUGGGUGCUGUAGUCACAUAAACAAGGGGGAGAAGAAAUUGUCUCUAUUUCCCCCCUUGAUGCACGAACAGAGGCAGUGUGGUAUAAAGGUGGCAUGAAGCUACCUUAUGCCCCCUCCACCUAGGACCAGCAAUGGACCAGGCUGGUUUCUGGUGAAAUCCUCAAUUGAUUAGAAUCCAACUUCUUGAAGUACAGCUGCGAACUAAGGAAACACAGUAAAGAGCUAACAAGAAAAAUUUGAACAAAAUACUGAAGCUAUUGUAUGAUUAAACAGUGCAACUCUAAUGGCUUGGAAUUACCAAGGAGACUGAAGUAGCAAAUGACAAUAAUACCCUGGAAGUAGGUUAGCAUGUCAUGUUUGGGGGAGGCUUGCUAGCAACUCCACGAGGCAACAGCUGUUUUCAAGGACAUGUGACAAGAAGAACUCUCCUUUGGUAAAUAUGCAAGUUUCCUGAUUUAUUUUCGUUUUGUUGAAAAAA